UGGGGAAUUUUGGACAAUGGGCGCAAGCCUGAUCCAGCCAUGCCGCGUGCAGGAUGAAGGCCUUCGGGUUGUAAACUGCUUUUGUACGGAACGAAAAGGUGCCUUCUAAUAAAGGGCGCUCAUGACGGUACCGUAAGAAUAAGCACCGGCUAACUACGUGCC
rnacentral:rRNA from 1 species